AUGAGUGCUGGAAAUGGAAGAAUGCUGAUCAGAGGGAAUCACUCUCUCUUCCUAUUCUACAGAGCAAUGCAGCAAAAUCAACAUUACAACAACCUUUGUAGCCUCUCCUCUUGGCCCUCAUUCUACUUUCCAACUUGGCAGAAUUGGGUGCUCCAGAAAGCCCAAGGUAUCAGAACAUCCACGGAUUACACGUCUUCACCAGUUCAUCAUGCGUGCACAGUUUAGUUGAGAGGCGCUGAUGAGUCAAGUUUCAUUUUGUCGUUUUGGUGAAUCAUGGGGUUUUUGGAAGACCUGGUCAUUUAUGAUAGGCCUGCAAUUUGUUUUCGUGACGUCGGUUGAAAGAUUCUGAGCCAUGAUACUUUGUCCGUUCCACUCUGUUGAUUUGCAACCAGAGAUUAUUGAGUUGAUGUUUUUGGUAGUGUCGAAGAAUAUUGUUGGAAUGGCGAUGCAGGUGCUGCUGUGUUGUGGACACGACCACGGCCUCCGCAGUUAACGAUGGAGAAGUCAUUUAGACAUUGGCAUUCGCAACUUUGAAACCGAGACAAUGAGUGUCGAGGUCGAAGGUGUCUGUUCACUGAUCGAGAGCUCGUCCGAUGUCGGUAGGUGUCAAGUUGCAUGAAUGGUUUCUUCUCGAUGACUCAGAACAUGUCGCAGAAAGGCGCUCCCGAACAUCUUUUCAACUUUGGUGCACCUCUCUCACUGAUCCUCUCCCACAUCGCUGGCCGUCUCUUUACCACCCUUGUUCUGGAGCCAUGGUCGCGCAGAGGACCUCGUCGUAAAAGGGAUGGCACAGGCGAAGGUGGCUGUCUUAUCAUUCCUGAACGUUGCUCUUGGGGGAAGCACCCAUAACAGAAAUGUUUCUUCAUGGAGGAUUCUCAUCGUCACGGGAUCGAAGGUUUUUCCGCACGAAACCCGACCGAGCCUUCAUGGAAUUCAUAACCCACUCGAAUUGUUGCUAUUUGCUCGGCGGUGCGCUUUUGAAGAAUGGCCAGUUCGCAUUCGUGAUGGGGAGGUAUUCAAGUGACUUACGGACAGUCAUCGACAAUAACAUGAAGUCGAAGAAGCGGUGGUAUCGCGGACGCUGCAAUGGACCAUUUAAGGACAUGGCUCAGGUCAUUUGCAUCAAGCUGGAUAUUGCUUACGGCAUGAAAACGCUGCACAAACAUGGCAUUUUGCACAGAGAUCUGAAAGCAGUCAACAUUCUUGUGCGUAAGCACAAACUCACAGACGAUUACACUUGCGAUGUUGCAGACUUCGAAAGCUCGGUUGGCAUUUACGGAUCCGGAUUUUGAAGAGCUCCUGAAUUAUUAGAGCAGGCCAAGAUUAACCAGUUAAGGCCCGAGAUAAUGACCAAAGAGGUGGACGUGUACAGCUACGCAAUGACAUGCUACGAAAUUCUAACAGGGAAAGGUCCCUUUGAAGAUGAACAGGUCAUUACUGGCGCGGCUAACUUGCGUACACGAGUCAUGGAAGGAGCAAGGCCUCCGCUUCCGAGCACAAACAGCCUCAUAGACGAACGAGUGAGGGAACUGGUGGAAGCGUGCUGGCACCAAGAGCCGUCCAAGUGGCCCAGUUUUAAACAGAUCGUGGAAAGACUGUCGCAACAUCAAAAUUGUCAGAAUUGGAGAUUUUAGCAUCAAGGGAGCAGUGGGAUCUGUGGUUGUGCAGCAGGUGUGGAGAUACGGAAGGACAAUGAGACUCUGCCUCUCACACCGGUUGCAUGCGCGGAGUUUUGUCAAGGCUGAGGGGUACCGAGCACUAGGAUUGGUGUAAUUCAGGCUUCGCCAGUUCCUCUGUUGUCACCAGUUCCUCUAGUUGGAAAAUGGACGCCGCAUUGGCCUCUCAACUGAGUGUGGUGAGGGUUCUACUCCGGAAAGGCGCAUCGGGAGCGGAAGAAUUGGAAUCCGGGCAAUCGAUACUUUCGCAACUCAUGGUUUGGAUUUCAGGUGUGCUUGAGUAACGAACAGGAAUUCCGUGAGCAGUAUCCAUUUGGUCAUCUUGGCAUGUCAACAAUGAGGCCUCAGGAGGCUGUUGACCAGACACAACUUGCGUCGAGUUUUCUGCGAAGCCAGCGUCGUCGCAGCCCCUUCUCGUAGAGAAUCGGCUCAUAAUGUGAAUGUCUGUGAACAUAACCAACUCCAGAGAAUGCUGCGAUCCUCCACAAAACGAUACUGCAAGGUCCACGUCUUGAGGAUCACAUCAUUCUCUAGAUUUUUGCUAGAAACAUUGUCUGAAGAAAUUUCCAUUGAAGUUUUAUUAGUCUCUCAUGGAUUGAGAGCUUGUAGAAAAGAGUAUAUAUAAAUCAUUAGCAGAAAUCUGUUUUGUUGUGCAUGGAAAAGCUAUUUAUAGAUAGUAAAUUGGAGGUCUUUAUGUAAGUAUUGCAUGGUUUUCUUAGUGGUUAGUGAUUUGUUUGAUUUUGGUCAAUGAGAAGGCUUCUUUGUCUCUCUAUCUUAUAUCCAAACUUCUUUAUUAUACAAAUGCCUCUUUUUUUCAA